rnacentral:rRNA from 1 species
ACUCCUACGGGAGGCAGCAGUGGGGAAUAUUGCACAAUGGGCGCAAGCCUGAUGCAGCCAUGCCGCGUGUAUGAAGAAGGCCUUCGGGUUGUAAAGUACUUUCAGCAGUGAGGAAGGCGGUACGUUAAUAGUACGUGCUCGUUGAUCGUUUAGCUGCAGAAGAAGACACCGGCUAACUCCGUGCCAGCAGCCGCGGUAAUACGGAGGGUGCGAGCGUUAAUCGGAAUUACUGGGCGUAAAGCGCAUGCAGGUGGUUUGUUAAGUCAGAUGUGAAAGCCCGGGGC